rnacentral:rRNA from 1 species
UACAGAGGUCUCAAGCGUUGUUCGGAUUCAUUGGGCGUAAAGGGUGCGUAGGCGGCUUGGCAAGUCGAGUGUGAAAUCCCUUAGCUUAACUGAGGAAUGGCGCUCGAAACUACCUCGCUCGAGGGCGGGAGAGGGAAGUGGAACUCUCGGUGUAGGGGUGAAAUCUGUAGAUAUCGAGAGGAACACCGGUGGCGAAGGCGGCUUCCUGGCCCGUACCUGACGCUGAGGCGCGAAAGCGUGGGGAGCAAACAGGAUUAGAACCACC